CGAAUAUUCAUCUACGGCGGCUACCACCCUUUCAUCUUCUACGCUAAGCAAACCAAACCUAAUUUCAAUCCAGCCCAUAAAACAAUAGCCCAAAAGAAAAAUAUUUACAAAUCAAUAAAGAUUAAAGAAUCAUAUUUAUUUGAAUUUACAACACAAAAUCGUCCAAGUACAAAAUCAAUUACAAUUAAUUUCAGGAAUCAAUCUAACACUAAUUCUAAAUCACGAUCAAUCCACAAACAAAGCAACCUAAUAAUAAAAUCACUAAUUUCCCAAUCUCGGAUUUAUAAUGUAAAUCAACAGAAUUUUCACAAUCUAAGCCUAUAA